rnacentral:rRNA from 1 species
GAUGAACGCUGGCGGCGUGCCUAAUACAUGCAAGUCGAGCGAAUGGAUUGAGAGCUUGCUCCUAUGAAGUUAGCGGCGGACGGGUGAGUAACACGUGGGUAACCUGCCCAUAAGACUGGGAUAACUCCGGGAAACCGGGGCUAAUACCGGAUAACAUUUUGAACCGCAUGGUUCGAAAUUGAAAGGCGGCUUCGGCUGUCACUUAUGGAUGGACCCGCGUCGCAUUAGCUAGUUGGUGAGGUAACGGCUCACCAAGGCAACGAUGCGUAGCCGACCUGAGAGGGUGAUCGGCCACACUGGGACUGAGACACGGCCCAGACUCCUACGGGAGGCAGCAGUAGGGAAUCUUCCGCAAUGGACGAAAGUCUGACGGAGCAACGCCGCGUGAGUGAGGAAGGCUUUCGGGUCGUAAAACUCUGUUGUUAGGGAAGAACAAGUGCUAGUUGAAUAAGCUGGCACCUUGACGGUACCUAACCUGAAAGCCACGGCUAACUACGUGCCAGCAGCCGCAGUAA